ACGGAAGGCAGCAGUGGGGAAUAUUGGGCAAUGGGCGAAAGCCUGACCCAGCAACGCCGCGUGAGGGAAGAAGGGUUUCGGCUCGUAAACCUCUGUCCUAUGGGACGAAGGAAGUGACGGUACCAUAGGAGGAAGCCCCGGCUAACUACGUGCCAGCAGCCGCGGUAAUACGUAGGGGGCGAGCGUUGUCCGGAAUGAUUGGGCGUAAAGGGCGCGUAGGCGGCCCGUUAAGUCUGGAGUGAAAGUCCUGCUUUUAAGGUGGGAAUUGCUUUGGAUACUGAUGGGCUUGAGUGCAGGAGAGGAAAGCGGAAUUACCGGUGUAGCGGUGAAAUGCGUAGAGAUCGGUAGGAACACCAGUGGCGAAGGCGGCUUACUGGACCAUUACUGACGCUGAGACACGAAAGCGUGGGGAGCAAACAGGAUUAGAUACCCUGGUA
rnacentral:rRNA from 1 species